ACGGGAGGCAGCAGUGGGGGAUAUUGCACAAUGGGGGAAACCCUGAUGCAGCGACGCCGCGUGAGUGAUGAAGUAUUUCGGUAUGUAAAGCUCUAUCAGCAGGGAAGAAAAUGACGGUACCUGACUAAGAAGCUCCGGCUAAAUACGUGCCAGCAGCCGCGGUAAUACGUAUGGAGCAAGCGUUAUCCGGAUUUACUGGGUGUAAAGGGAGCGUAGACGGUGACGCAAGUCUGAAGUGAAAGGUGUGGGCUCAACCCGCAAACUGCUUUGGAAACUGUGUGACUAGAGUGUCGGAGAGGUAAGUGGAAUUCCUAGUGUAGCGGUGAAAUGCGUAGAUAUUAGGAGGAACACCAGUGGCGAAGGCGGCUUACUGGACUGUAACUGACGUUGAGGCUCGAAAGCGUGGGGAGCAAACAGGAUUAGAUACCCUGGUA
rnacentral:rRNA from 1 species